rnacentral:rRNA from 1 species
ACUCCUACGGGAGGCAGCAGUGGGGAAUAUUGCACAAUGGGCGCAAGCCUGAUGCAGNNNNNNCAUGGCCGCGUGUGUGAAGAAGGCCUUCGGGUUGUAAAGCACUUUCAGUCGUGAGGAAGGUAGUGUAGUUAAUAGCUGCAUUAUUUGACGUUAGCGACAGAAGAAGCACCGGCUAACUCCGUGCCAGCAGCCGCGGUAAUACGGAGGGUGCGAGCGUUAAUCGGAAUUACUGGGC